GCACCAUGGCACAAUCUGGUGCAAUGGUCAGUGCGUCUGGCUGUUAAACAAAAGGUUGGUGGUUCGAGCCCACCCAGGGACA